rnacentral:rRNA from 1 species
CCUACGGGUGGCAGCAGUGAGGAAUAUUGGUCAAUGGGCGGGAGCCUGAACCAGCCAAGUCGCGUGAGGGAAGAAGGUACUGAGUAUCGUAAACCUCUUUUGCCAGGGGAUAAAGGUGGGGACGUGUGGCCGUAAGAGGGUACCUGGUGAAUAAGGAUCGGCUAACUCCGUGCCAGCAGCCGCGGUAAUACGGAGGAUCCGAGCGUUAUCCGGAUUUAUUGGGUUUAAAGGGUGCGUAGGCGGCGUGUCAAGUCAGCGGUAAAAUGUCGGGGCUCAACCCCGGCCGGCCGUUGAAAAUGGGGUGCUCGAGUUGGAGAGAAGCAUGCGGAAUGCGUGGUGUAGCGGUGAAAUGCAUAGAUAUCACGAAGAACCCCGAUUGCGAAGGCAGCCUGCCGGGUCCUCACUGACGCUGAGGCACGAAAGCGUGGGUAUCGAACAGGAUUAGAUACCCGAGUAGUC